GGAUGUGAGGGCAGUGGCUGUGAUAUCUUCAGCCAGUUGAUCACUGUGGUGGAUGUGUCUGAUCUGUUCACAUCCUCCCUCACCAUGCACCUUCUUCACGUGGCUAAAGAGGACACGACGUGGCUUCACGUCGGCUAAAGAGGACAGCCUCCCUGACAGGGGCGGGCCAGUCUUUGGUCAGAGUCAAGGAUAUACAAGUAGCUGCAUGCUCCUGAUUGGAGCCUCCAAAUACGCUGCCAAGGAGAACUUCCGAAGAACAGCCUCAUAGCCCACAGAACACAUUUUCUGUCCAUCUACCCACAGAACACAUUUUCUGUCUAU
rnacentral:sRNA from 1 species